UCCUCGCGCGCCACGCGUCUUCCUCCGCCCCGAACCCUACACCCCACCUCAAUCCCUCCAGCCGUCGCUGCCCCUCCCACAUCUCUCCUCCAUCCCCCUCCUCUCUCUCUCCUCUCUUUCCACCUCGUCCGCGAGCCCAUCACCCAGCGCUCGCGCGCUUGCCUCCCGGACCAGCCCGCCACCGCGCCGCUAGGGUUCGUCUGCCGCGGAUUUCCACGGGGAAGGAGCAGCGAUGGGGGUAGGCUCUAAGCGGCGCGCACUUCAUGGGGAGGCAAGGAACAAGGAGGUGACGGGGUCGGAUCUGGCGGUGGUAGGUCAGAGCUCGAGCUCGAGGCCGAGAUGGGGAAGGUAAAAAAUAGAGACUGGAUGGAGAUGCUCGAGGCGGAGGACCGCCCGUCGGCGAGCUCGAGCUGGAGACGCACAAUUAGCGUCACCGGCCAUUGGAUGGGUUGGAGCACGAGGCAGCGCUCCUGUCGCUAUGUGGUGGAGCCGCGCAGGAGGGUGAGGAGGUUGGCGACAGGGAACCGGGCCGGGGAGGAGGCAAGGUAUGUGCUAUCCUGUAUUUUUCUCUUUGCAUUUUUCUCCUACUGUGCAUCUAUUUCUGUUCAUUGUUGGAGUGGAUUCAUGGCAACAAACUUUCUAUAAAUAAUAAGUGCAAAGAUAUGUAUGUUGACAAAUGGAUGAGAGCUGUUCAGAGAAAGAUUUGAACCAUACAUGCGACAGGUUCUGAGAGUAUGUAAAAGUAAUUGGAAUAUUUUCAAUUGCAAAUCAUUCCCUAAUAUUAUGGUUAAUUAGUUAGUUCUAGUUUUUGUCCACUGGCACUCACUUCGGAUGUAGUAUGAGCGGGUGCGUCAGGAAGCAGCUCUGAAUAUGGUUCCCGUAGAUGAACAUGCCUUUCUGUUGGAUUUGCUUUUCUUGUUUAAGCAAUCAUUCAGGUUAUCGAAACACUCAUGUGCCUCUUUUCUUCAGUCAUCACUAAUGAUGAGUGUCGUGUGUCUGAUUUGAGGAAAAUGGUUUAGAGUAAUUACUUGUGCGAGGAUCGCUGGGUGGUACCUGAGUGAGAGGGUUCAGAUUAGGGAUUACGAGUAUGAAGUAGAUGUGAUAUAUUGUAACUCUUCUUAUUUGAUUAAUUCAUCUCAAGAGGUCCUCUUUAUGUAGAGAGGCCUAACAAUUCAAAAACUAAUACGUACCUCUAAUCAUCCUUAUAUGCAUACAUGCAUGCGUCACUCUGGAGCCAAAAACUAAUUAUGAGUAUGCAGGUUGAAGUCCCUUGUUCUACAUAUAACUUGCCAACUCUACUAAUUCAUGUAUGAGUAUAUGCAUAUAUGUAGUCCAUUCCCAGCGCAUGUGUUCGGAAUACUGGAUUCUUGUACUUACUCAAAAUUUUCUUUUAAUAGAAAGUUCAUUGGAAGAGAUUGCAAAGUUUAACAAGCAUGUCCCUUUUACAUCUAUUCAUAGUGUGUUUCUUUUGGUUUCACCACAUUUUUAGGUUCACAUUUUUUACAGGUUGCGUAUAGUAUAGGAGGCAUUGGUGAUGAAACAUGAAUGUCCGUUGAUCUUGUCCGCUCUAGAUCUCAGUAGACCUGUGUGAUGUGCUCUUGAUCCUUUCUCUCUUUUCUCGUUAAACGAAUCUCAGACUGAGGAGAGCAUGUUCUUUAAUUAGGUUGCAAUCGUGAAACUUCUUUUGGUUUUUCUUAUUGUACAAUACGAAGCUUCCAAGUUGUUUGGUCCUGGAAAUAAGUUACCAAAUUUCUGUGUGCAGUGAGCUGGGAGCCGGGGUCAUCCCUCUCACUACCAGUCGAACAUACUACGUCAGCCACCAUGUCGAGCGAUAUAAAAGUGUUCUCUAUUUCAUAGAGCAACAACAUGAGAUUAUGCCCCCUCUUGCUCCUGGUGCAUGUUGCUGCCCUCCUUUCUCCUCUUAUUUCACUUGCUUUACAUUGUGUGAAGUUGUUUACUUUCAACUUUACAAAGCUAUAUCCUAUGUUUUAAAGGCGUCCCUAAGGCGACGCCUAGGCGACGCCUAGGCGUCGAAGCGCUCCCCCUCCGCUUUGGAAAAUCGACCGCUUUGGGCGCCUAGGCGUCGCCUAGGCGCCAAAGCGCCCCCCUCCCUAAGGCGGUAAGGCAUCGCCUUAAAAACAUAGGCUAUAUCAAGUUCGCAACUGUAUUUGGCUACACCUAUAACAUAUUGCAUUUCUCUUCCAGUUUAUUGAAUAUAUUUUUAAGGAUUGAAUGUUCUGUCUGGUACUGUCCUAUCACACAUUUAACUAUCUUAAUUUGUUCACAAAACUCCUUCUGUAGUUAAGAUUUCAUUGUACAACACGUACUAAUUAUUGGUCUUAUUCUUAAAUCUUAUUUCACGCUAUUCAGCUGCAGGCUGGGUUAAGAUUGUUUUUGUGCCAGAAACAGACUAGGCAAUGCUCUAACUUGGCAGCAAAAAAUGUCUAAAUUUCAUAAAUAAGGUCGUGGAAUAUCUUUGAAUAAGUUCAUUUGAAUAUCUUGAGUUGACCUGUAUGGGUUGCUUCUGUGCACACUUUCUUUGAUAUGAAUUUCUAGGAGAGAAAUUAUUUCAUGGUAAUGAUGUAUUAUCAAUAUUUACUUUGUUCUUGGCCUAUAGGUUUCUUUUUGUGGGAUGCAAUUAUGGUACCAUAUGAAUAUGAUCCUUGAGUUGCAUAUUAUUGCCCUUUUGGACAUAGACAUGUGCCAUGUAGUACAACAUUUAUAAAGCAUGUAUUGGAAAUUGUAAGUAGAUGAUUACGGUUACCCUGUAAUUUGAGGAGUAAGAUAUAUAUGGUGAUAGAAUCUAGAGAUACUUGUUAAUCUAUAACAAUGAGAUCCAGUCACGUGAAAUAUGUUUUAUUCACAGAAACAGGGAAUCAAUCUGGCUGAAAGUAGUCAUCUUAUGGCGUGGCAUGAAGAGAUGUGUGCAGAUCUGAGAAAGAAGAGGAAUAAUCCAGCAGAAGAAUUUGGUGAAUAAGAACAAGUUGGCAUUUCUCUCUUGUGAACACAGUCAUGCCUGCCUUUUGAUUUUAUUAUUUGUGCUAAUGCAAACAUGAAUUCUCUAUAGUUCUUUGCGCAGCACUGCUAAUUACUCAAUCUGCAAUACAUAAUUAUUUCUGUGAGAAGUUUAGUGCAUGACUUAGCAUUCUGUAAAGUCUGUCUAAGCUCCUGUCUCUAGGCCUAAAUAGAUUUCUCAAUAUCAUUUUUGUUUAAACACUGAACAACAUUGCCAGGUCAACCAUUUCUCAUGUCUUUGUCAUAUAUAUAGGUAUUGUGGUGUCUAAAUUUUGUCACCAGCCUCUUUCACCGACCCAUAAACUAUCUGUCUCGAGGUUCCCCAUCUAUAUUUGGGUUUCGAAAAAAAAGAACUUUUUUUGGACUUAUUUUGCAUUAGCUACUUUGUAGGUAUUAUGUGCAUUGUCAGGGAUCUGAUAUCAUGUAGUUCCAGGGAUUUCAGAAGGUAUGGUCAGUCCAUUGUUUUUGCCAUGUGUUACUUUUUCUCAUUACUGUGAUCAUCAGUGCUCUUGACAUCUGUUGUUCUUGCUUUAUGAUUGUCUUCCCAGUGCACUUUUAUUAGUUCUAACAUAUUAAUUUUAAUAUGCUUGAUUGACCAUAUUAUAUAUUUCACUUCACCGGGGUGGUGGCUAGAAGUGUUGGUUAAAGUAUUUUGGUUAAAACAUUGUCUCUAAUUAUCAAGUUUAUACAGUUGAAUCUUCUUGAUUGACUAUUUUGUAGCCUGCUCUUAGUUAGUAUUAAUUCUUAAAACUGGAUCUCUUAAAAUUAGUUAAAUUUAUGAGUUGUUUCACUGUUUUCAAAUAAGUAGCUUCAGCCCUCACUGUGUCCUGACGAUUAUUCUUACUACCUUUUUAUGAUUGCUUUAUGCUUUAACAAGCUUAAAUAUAACUAUUGGCAUAUAAUCUCAUGGCUUAAAAUCUUAGUUGAGAAUGUAUUAAAAGUUAUAAGAUCUGGAGUUUGCACUAUAUUUCAUCCAGCGGUAUUCCGAGUAACUGAAUGUUAAGAGCAUAGACGAUCAUAGGUUGUACAUUUUAGUUACUGGGAAAUGCUUUUAUCUUGCAGGCUAAUUUUACAUUUACUUUUUCAAUAAUGAGAUGACUAUGUACAGAGUGUCAAGUUUUUUGCCUUGGCAUUACUGCCGCUGUGUACAGAUGGUUACUGAAAGAAGAAGGAUUCAAGCAGCAUACCUUCACUUGACAGAUGCUUUAACCGCAAGAACUGAUGUUAUUUUCUUUUGGUUUUCUGCAAUGAUGGUAGUUCUCAUUUGAUUCUAGAACCUGCAAAGGAAGGGUAGAGAUUUCCAUUGUUGUUGAAUUGGUGGGAUUGUCACCAAGUUAGUGUUGCAGGUUGUUUCUGUUUUAGAGCAAGAAGCCAAAUCAUGUUGUUCAUUGUAAAUCUUGAAAAACUUGUUUACUGUCGCGUCUAUAUCCAUUAUAAACUUUCAUUCCUAGUGUGGUACUUACCAAUCUUGGUUCGCCCUUCCAUUGCAGCAG
rnacentral:rRNA from 1 species